rnacentral:rRNA from 1 species
GACGAACGCUGGCGGCGUGCUUAACACAUGCAAGUGGAGCGACGAACCAGGCGUUCGGCCUGGGGCAGAGCCGCGAACGGGUGAGUAACACGUGGGUGACCUGCCCGAUGGACCGGGACAACCCGAGGAAACUCGGGCUAAUACCGGAUGUGCUCCCAGCCAUAAACGGGCUGGGGUGGAAAGGUAGCUUCGGCUUCCGUAUCGGGAUGGGCCCCGCGGCGCAUUAGCUAGUUGGUGGGGUAAAGGCCACCAAGGCGACGAUGCGUAGCUGGUCUGAGAGGACGAUCAGCCACACUGGG